ACUCAAAGGAAUAGACGGGGGCCCGCACAAGCGGUGGAGCGUGUGGUUUAAUUCGACGCUAAGCGAAGAACCUUACCCAGGUUUGACAUCCUGAUCGUAUCCCUUGGAAACUUGGGAGUCAGUUUGCUGGAUCGGUGACAGGUGCUGCAUGGUCGUCGUCAGCUCGUGUCGUGAGAUGUUGGGUUAAGUCCCGCAACGAGCGCAACCCUUGUCGUGUGUUGUAUUUUUCACGCGAGACUGCCUCGGUCAACGAGGAGGAAGGUGGGGAUGACGUCAGAUCAGCAUGGCCCUUAUACCUGGGGCGACACACGCGCUACAAUGGCGGAUACAAUGGGUCGCGAAAUCGCGAGAUGGAGCUAAUCCCAUCAAAGUCCGUCUCAGUUCGGAUUGGAGGCUGCAACUCGCCUCCAUGAAGCCGGAAUCGCUAGUAAUCGCAGGUCAGCCAUACUGCGGUGAAUACGUUCUCGGGCCUUGUACACACCGCCCGU
rnacentral:rRNA from 1 species